GAUGAACGCUGGCGGCGUGCCUAAUACAUGCAAGUCGAGCGAACAGAUGAGGAGCUUGCUCCUCUGACGUUAGCGGCGGACGGGUGAGUAACACGUGGAUAACCUACCUAUAAGACUGGGAUAACUUCGGGAAACCGGAGCUAAUACCGGAUAAUAUAUUGAACCGCAUGGUUCAAUAGUGAAAGACGGUUUUGCUGUCACUUAUAGAUGGAUCCGCGCCGCAUUAGCUAGUUGGUAAGGUAACGGCUUACCAAGGCAACGAUGCGUAGCCGACCUGAGAGGGUGAUCGGCCACACUGGAACUGAGACACGGUCCAGACUCCUACGGAGGCAGCAGUAGGGAAUCUUCCGCAAUGGGCGAAAGCCUGACGGAGCAACGCCGCGUGAGUGAUGAAGGUCUUCGGAUCGUAAAACUCUGUUAUUAGGGAAGAACAAAUGUGUAAGUAACUAUGCACGUCUUGGCGGUACCUAAUCAGAAAGCCACGGCUAACUACGUG
rnacentral:rRNA from 1 species